AGUUCGUAGGUGGUUAAAAAAGUUGGUGGUGAAAUCCCAGAGCUUAACUCUGGAACUGCCAUCAAAACUUUUUAGCUAGAGUAUGAUAGAGGAAAGCAGAAUUUCUAGUGUAGAGGUGAAAUUCGUAGAUAUUAGAAAGAAUACCAAUUGCGAAGGCAGCUUUCUGGAUCAUUACUGACACUGAGGAACGAAAGCAUGGGUAGCGAAGAGGAUUAGAUACCCUCGUAGUCCAUGCUGUAAACGAUGUGUGUUAGACGUUGGAAAUUUAUUUUCAGUGUCGCAGCGAAAGCAAUAAACACACCGCCUGGGGAGUACGACCGCAAGGUUAAAACUCAAAUGAAUUGACGGGGACCCGCACAAGUAGUGGAGCAUGUGGUUUAAUUCGAAGAUACGCGCAGAACCUUACCAACACUUGACAUGUUCGUCGCGACUCUAAGAGAUUAGAGUUUUCGGUUCGGCCGGACGAAACACAGGUGCUGCAUGGCUGUCGUCAGCUCGUGUCGUGAGAUGUUGGGUUAAGUCCCGCAACGAGCGCAACCCUCACUUUUAGUUGCCAUCAUUUAGUUGGGCACUCUGAAAGAACUGCCAGUGAUAAGCUGGAGGAAGGUGGGGAUGACGUCAAGUCCUCAUGGCCCUUACGUGUUGGGCUACACACGUGCUACAAUGGUAUCUACAACAGGAAGCAAAAUGGCAACAUUAAGCAAAUCCCUAAAAGAUACCUCAGUUCGGAUUGCACUCUGCAACUCGAGUGCAUGAAGCUGGAAUUACUAGUAAUCGUGGAUCAGCGUGCCACGGUGAAU
rnacentral:rRNA from 1 species